rnacentral:ncRNA from 1 species
UAUUUAGCUUUGAAAAAGGAACAGUAGUAUUUAUAUCACUAAAGAGAGCUGUUGUGAGGUGAAAAACAGCGUGAACAGAAUACGAACUCACCUUAGGAGCUUAUCUGAAGAAAAUCAGAUACGGUAUGAACCGUUAUUUUUUGAGUGAAACCAAUUUAUGGGUUUAAUUAGAGUGGUACCGCGGAAGCUAAAUCUUUCGUCUCUUGA